UUGUAAAAAACAAUUGGCAUUGAAUCAUAUCGUGGAAGAAAAAACAACGGGCUUUCACUACAUUUGGACUAUGAAAUGUGAUACUUGCUCCACGCUAACGAAAUGCCACUCAAGCAAGUCACACUUCAACGACGGUCAUCGUUAUUAUGACGCCAACACUGCAGCUGUGCCGUUCACUCCGGAGCAGGAUGCAAUGCACUGAGGAAAAUUGCAAUGUGCAUAGAUAUGCCGGUCUUGAGUCAGGAAACAUACAAGCGCUAUGAACGUAAAAUCGGUCCACUCAUCGAAGAAGCUGCCAAGGACAGUUGCCAAGGUGCAGCAGCGGAGGAACAAAACUUAGUCGUAGAGCAUAUCGAUACGCUGCGUGAUAAAUUGUAAGCUUUCUGUCAUUGUGACAGAACAUUUCAUUCUCUUG
rnacentral:misc_RNA from 1 species